rnacentral:rRNA from 1 species
AAUCUUCCGCAAUGGACGCAAGUCUGACGGAGCAACGCCGCGUGUGUGAAGAAGGUCNNNGGAUCNUAAAGCACUGUUAUUAGNGAANAACAACCGGUAGAGUAACUGUUACCGGCUUGACGGUAUCUCACCAGUAAGCCACCGCUAACUACGUUGCAGCAGCCGCGGUAAUACGCAGGUGGCGAGAGUUAUCCGGAUGUAUUGGGCGUAAAGGGAGCGCAGGUGGUGAUUUAAGUCUGAUGUGAUAGCCCACGGCUCAACCGUGGAAGGUCAUUGGAAACUGAAUCACUUGAGUGCAGAAGAGGAAAGUGGAAUUCAAUGUGUAGCGGUGAAAUGCGUAGAUAUAUGGAGGAACACCAGUGGCGAAGGCGACUUUCUGGUCUGUAACUGACACUGAGGCUCGAAAGCGUGGGGAGCAAAC